CCUACGGGAGGCAGCAGUGAGGAAUAUUGGUCAAUGGGCGAGAGCCUGAACCAGCCAAGUCGCGUGAGGGAAGACGGUCCUAUGGAUUGUAAACCUCGUUUGUAGGGGAGAAAAAGACGCCACGCGUGGCGUUCCGCGCGUACCCGAAGAAAAAGCAUAGGCUAACUCCGUGCCAGCAGCCGCGGUAAUACGGAGGAUUCGGGCGUUAUCCGGAUUGAUUGGGUUUAAGGGGUGCGCGGGGGGAAGAUCAAGUCAGCUGUAAAAUUGAGGGGCUCAACCUCUUCGAGCCGUUGACACUGGUUUUCUUGAGUGCGUGAGAGGUAUGCGGAAUGCGUGGUGUAGCGGUGAAAUGCAUAGAUAUCACGCAGAACUCCGAUUGCGAAGGCAGCAUACCGGCGCUCAACUGACGUUCAUGCACGAAAGUGUGGGUAUCGAACAGGAUUAGAUACCCGAGUAGUC
rnacentral:rRNA from 1 species